UUCCGGUUGAUCCUGCCGGACCUGACUGCUAUCGGAUUGAUACUAAGCCAUGCGAGUCAUUGUAGCAAUACAAGGCAGACGGCUCAGUAACGCGUAGUCAACCUACCCUAUGGACGGGAAUAACCUCGGGAAACUGAGAAUAAUGCCCGAUAGAACAUUAUGCCUGGAAUGGUUUAUGUUCCAAAUGAUUUAUCGCCGUAGGAUGGGACUGCGGCCUAUCAGUUUGUUGGUGAGGUAAUGGCCCACCAAGACUAUUACAGGUACGGGCUCUGAGAGGAGUGGCCCGGAGAUGGGUACUGAGACACGGACCCAGGCCCUAUGGGGCGCAGCAGGCGAGAAAACUUUGCAAUGUGCGAAAGCACGACAAGGUUAAUCCGAGUGGUUUCUGCUAAAGGAACCUUUUGACAGUCCUAGAAACACUGUUGAAUAAGGGGUGGGCAAGUUCUGGUGUCAGCCGCCGCGGUAAAACCAGCACCUCAAGUGGUCAGGAUGAUUAUUGGGCCUAAAGCAUCCGUAGCCGGCUCUGUAAGUUUUCGGUUAAAUCUAUACGCUCAACGUAUAGGCUGCCGGGAAUACUGCAGAGCUAGGGAGUGGGAGAGGUAGACGGUACUCGGUAGGAAGGGGUAAAAUCCUUUGAUCUAUUGAUGACCACCUGUGGCGAAGGCGGUCUACCAGAACACGUCCGACGGUGAGGGAUGAAAGCUGGGGGAGCAAACCGGAUUAGAUACCCGGGUAGUCCCAGCUGUAAACUAUGCAAACUCAGUGAUGCAUUGGCUUGUGGCCAAUGCAGUGCUGCAGGGAAGCCGUUAAGUUUGCCGCCUGGGAAGUACGUACGCAAGUAUGAAACUUAAAGGAAUUGGCGGGGGAGCACCACAAGGGGUGAAGCCUGCGGUUCAAUUGGAGUCAACGCCGGG
rnacentral:rRNA from 2 species